UUUCCGUAGGUGAACCUGCGGAAGGAUCAUUCAUAAUAAGUGUUUUAUAGCACUUUUUUAAAUCCAUAUCCACCUUGUGUGCAAUGUCAGGGUUGAUUUUUCUCUCGAGAGGAUCAACCCCAAACAUCAACUAUAUCUCAACUCUUUGUCUGAAAAAUAUUAUGAAUAAAACAAUUCAAAAUACAACUUUCAACAACGGAUCUCUUGGCUCUC
rnacentral:misc_RNA from 1 species